AUUAACCUUAACCCUUCCCUUAAAAAAAGCUCCUUUACUAUAUGAUAAAGACUUUCUAAACAUGUACAUACCUAGAAAUCGUAAAAUUUAUCUUGUAAAAAACAUGGUAUGUGCGUUGUUCUCGCAGGAAAUUCAAAAUCAUUGAUAACCAAACACGCUUCCUAUAAAAACAGCUUCAACCGUUCAAAAAAUUCAUUUCAGUGCGAAAUUUCACGCAGUCAAGUAGUGAGUACGUUUUUGACCGAAACGAACGGCUAAAUUUCAAAAAUGAAAUCUUUCUCGUUGAUUUCCGUUUUACUUUCCAUCUUCGCAUUUUUCAAAACCGUUACGGCCGGACCUUUUCUUGGACUCGUAGUAUGCGGAUUGCUGACCGGUGUUUUCUUCCUGUUGCUGGUCCUUUUGCCACCACUGACUACGUUCUUGGCUAUUGCACUUCUCCCCUUGCUCAUAUUCCUCUGUAUUCUCGGUUAUGUACUGUAAUUAGAUUCAACCCAAUUUCUUGAACUCAAUAACAACAACAAUGAAAAAAGCCCGGCCAUGGUUAAUUUGUAGCUUCCGAUUUCUUCCGUUUUUCAAUCGAUUUUAAUUUUAUAAUGGUGGUGGUGGUGGUGGUGAUGGUGAUUUUCAAAAACUGUACACACGAAUUUAGAAAUUUCUUACGUCGCAUACGCUUUUAAAUACGAAGUUAUUUCAUGACAUUUUGGUAAUAAAAUUUUUCGCGCCAAGAACUUUGUUCUUUUGUAACUCGUCAUUAAGUUUUAGCACAAUUGUAUCUACAUUGAAAUAUAAUACACGUAAUUUAAAUGGGGAA